rnacentral:rRNA from 1 species
GUCCUAGCCGUAAACGUUGGUCACUAGGUGUUGGACCCCUAAUAAGGAUUCAGUGCCGCAGCUAACGCAUUAAGUGACCCACCUGGGGACUACGGCCGCAAGGUUGAAACUCAAAGGAAUUGACGGGGCCCGCACAAGCGGUGGAGUAUGUGGUUCAAUUCGACGCAACGCGAAGAACCUUACCUGGGUUUGACAUCCCGGCGAAAGCCCAAGAGAUUGGGUCCUCUCGCAAGAGACGGCGGACAGGUGCUGCAUGGCUGUCGU